rnacentral:rRNA from 1 species
UACGUAGGCAGCGAGCGUUGUUCGGAGUUACUGGGCGUAAAGGGUGCGUAGGCGGUUGUUUAAGUUUGGUGUGAAAUCUCCCGGCUCAACUGGGAGGGUGCGCCGAAUACUGAAUGACUAGAGUGCGGGAGAGGAUAGUGGAAUUCCUGGUGUAGCGGUGAAAUGCGUAGAUAUCAGGAGGAACACCGGUGGUGUAGACGGCUAUCUGGACUGUAACUGACGCUGAGGCACGAAAGCGUGGGUAGCAAACAGG